rnacentral:misc_RNA from 1 species
GUGAGUCAUCGAAUCUUUGAACGCACAUUGCGCCCGCCAGUAUUCUGGCGGGCAUGCCUGUUCGAGCGUCAUUUCAACCAUCAAGCCCCAGGCUUGUGUUGGGGGCCUGCAGCUGCUGCAGCCCCCUAAAAGCAGUGGCGGGCUCGCUGUCAUUCCGAGCGCAGUAGUUAUAUCUCGCUCUGGGCGUGGCGGUGGGCACCUGCCGUUAAACACUCUUUCUAAGGUUGACCUCGGAUCAGGUAGGAAUACCCGCUGAACUUAAGCAUAUCAAUAAGCGGAGGA